CGACAAGGCCCGGCUGCAAUUGGCGAACACCUUCACGGAAGCUCCUGCAUUGAGGCAUAAGAUCAGCUGCCGAGAUUCAACACCCUUCUUCCCAAGGGAAAUGCGACUCAUCAUUGUUAUGAGACGCAUGCGCUCGAUGUCCGCUGCGGAGAGGCGCGUGGACUCCGCGCGGAUUUCCGCGCCGCGCGCCCUCCCGCUGCUGCGAGCGCCGCGCGCUUUCGGAACGGCGAGGGGGGCCCCCCCACGGGAAUCCGCGUGCGUCCGCUCCGCGCCGGUGAAAAACGACGAGCGGACCUCGACAACGCCGCGCUCCACGCCCAAACAAUGCCCGCGCGAAGCGUCGUAAAAUGAGCAGGUGAAAGCUGACCUGGGAGACUGAAUCACACGGAGCUGAUCAAGUAUUCCCGAGAAGAGCUCUCGCAAAAUCGAGUCUUGAGACUCGGUGGGCCAUUGCUAGGCAACAAAGAAUCGUAAUUUUAAAUUCGCAUAAACAUCUAAUAAAUACAAAAAAGGGGUACACUCUGCUGUUGCAAAACAACACGUUCACGCCAUUCCAUUCUACGUUGUCCCACGAAGUCUCGAAUUCACGUAGAAUCAAAGUGCGUCGAAUCAUUAGCCAAUCCAUUUAACUCGGUAGGUUAGCGAUUCACACGAACGACUCCAAAUGCACACGGCCAAUGUGCUAAUUAGAAAUGAUCUAAUUACUCGGGCUGCAUUCAAGGGGACUGACCACCAACCACCCUUUCUCUGCACGCCCCUUUUGAAGUGAAGACGACUUCAGAUCCG